rnacentral:rRNA from 1 species
CAGUCGCCACGGUAAUACGAAGGGGGCUAGCGUUGUUCGGAUUUACUGGGCGUAAAGGGCGCGUAGGCGGACUGAUAAGUCAGGGGCGAAAUCCCAAGGCUCAACCUUGGAACUGCCUUUGAUACUGUUUGUCUUGAGUUCGAGAGAGGUAAGUGGAACUGCGAGUGUAGAGGUGAAAUUCGUAGAUAUUCGCAAGAACACCAGUGGCGAAGGCGGCUUACUGGCUCGAAACUGACGCUGAGGCGCGAAAGCGUGGGGAGCAAACAGGAUUAGAUACCCCGGUAGUCCCUGUCUCUUAUAC